GCCCGCCUCAGCCUCCCAAAAUGCUGGGAUUACAGGCAUGAGCCACUGCACCCGGCUCAAAGCCUUUACAUAUUUGCUCAACGUGUAUUUAGUUUG
rnacentral:miRNA from 1 species